GAAGGUGGCUAGCGUUAUUCGGAUUCACUGGGCAUAAAGCGCGCGUAGGCGGCUCUUCAAGUCGGAGGUGAAAGCCUGCAGCUCAACUGCGGAACUGCCUUCGAUACUGUCGAGCUUGAGUGCAGGAGGGGUGAUCGGAACUCCAGGUGUAGCGGUGAAAUGCGUAGAUAUCUGGAGGAACACCGGAGGCGAAGGCGGAUCACUGGACUGCCACUGACGCUGAGGCGCGAAAGCUAGGGGAGCAAACAGGAUUAGAUACCCUGGUAGUCCUAGCUGUAAACGAUGGGUACUAGGCAGCGGGGGCCCGAUGCUCUCGCUGUCGAAGCGAAUGUGCUAAGUACCCCGCCUGGGGAGUACGGCCGCAAGGCUGAA
rnacentral:rRNA from 1 species